AUCCUCCGUGUGGAGGAAACGACCAGCCGCCGUGCGCGGUGACGUCCCCGCUGACGCCCGGCCCCUGGAGCACGCAGCUCGCUGGCUGCUCACGGCUCAUCGUCACGGCCUAUUUAUGGAUCCGCCGCCUGCCACCGGCCGCCGGCAGAACUCCCGCGACUAUCAGGAUCGGCGGCUAUACACCGUGAACUGCGCCACUAGACUAGGAAGAAAAUGGGGUGGAAGGGCGUCCUGGGGUUCGACUACGGCGUCGUGCAGGCACCGCUCGGCCCCGACAUCUCCGGCCCGGAGCUCGCCGCCGCCGUCGCCAACGCUGGCGCCAUAGGCCUCCUCCGCCUUCCUGACUGGCCGGCGCCGGACCACGUGAGGGGGUUGAUACAGAGGACCAGGAGCCUGACCGAGAAGCCGUUCGGGGCGGCCAUCGUGCUGGCCUUCCCGCACGAGGAGAAUCUGAGGGUCGUGCUGGAGGAGAAGCUCGCCGUGCUGCAGGUGUACUGGGGCGAGUUCCCCAAGGAGCGGGUCGACGAGGCCCAUCGUGCCGGCGUCAAGGUCUUGCAUCAGGUUGGUAACCUUGAGGAGGCAGCAAAAGCUAAGGAAGCUGGUGUAGAUGGAAUUAUCGUUCAAGGCCGCGAAGCAGGGGGGCAUGUGAUUGGUCAAGAGGGUCUGCUACCGUUGCUGCCGAGAGUAGUGGAUCUAGUUUCAGAUAGUACUGUUUCGGUUAUCGCCGCUGGUGGAAUCGUAGAUGGCCGUGGCUAUGCUGCUGCAUUGGCACUUGGUGCUCAUGGUGUUUGCUUAGGAACUAGGUUUGUAGCCACCGAGGAAAGCUUUGCGCAUCCGCUGUAUAAGAAAAAGCUAAUUGAGAUGAAUUGCACGGACUAUACAGCUGUGUUCGGGCGUGCUAGAUGGCCUGGUGCUCCACAACGUGUCCUGAAGACACCUUUCUAUGUUGAGUGGAAGAAUCUUCCAGAUCAUGAAACAGAGGAAAAUCAGCCUAUUAUAGGUCAUUCUAUCAUCCAUGGUGUGGGCAAGAUACAAGAAUGUUGGGAACAGCUACACCACCCAACACAACUCCAAGCCAUCUACAGGAAGGAAGAGAGAGCGCCGCUUGAAGUCGCCGGGUGCCUCAACCGUGAACGCAACAUAGCGAAGAGUCGGAGCUGUGCACGACGAACCGAUUACUCCAAGGCGGAGCCUUCAACAAGGUCAUGGCACCUAAGUACCACCACCGCCUGAUCCAGGGAUCGAGGUUUCCCUCGGAGCAACACGGAGGAGGAAGAGGAACCACGGCGACGCCUUCAAGAAGGAUACGACGCCCGUAGGCGCCGCCGCGCCGACCUGGCAAAGCCAGAAAGAGUUUUCACCCGGCAAGCCCUCUUUGCCUCCGAGACAGAGUGCCGCAAGCACGCUGCAGAACCACCGCCACCGACCGUCAUGCCCAAGCUACCACGCCGCCCGCACGACCAUGGUAACCGGCCAACAUCCGAGCCGCGAGCUCCGCCCACGAGCAUCGCGCCUCCCACCACCGAGGCCGCCGCCCGGCAUCCGAGACCACCCCUCGACCGCCGCCGCCGCACACCGACAUCGUCAACAGGUGAAGGGGCAGCAAAGACCCCCUCUUUCCGCCCCAAACAAGUUCCUAUGGCAGGAGCGGCCGGCAGCCAGAUCUGGGCAGGGAAAACGCCGGCGGUCAGCCGUGCUGCAGCCACCCGAGACACCCGAUCUGGCACCUCCAAAUCGCGGCGACGGCGAGUCCGGGAGGCACCCCUGCCUCCCCCUCACGGCGCCCUUGCCAUUCACCAGCCAGCCAAGCCACACCAGAGCACAAGAGGAGCCGCCACCAGCAGCCGAUUCAUGCGCCACGACGGCCAUAGAGGAGGGGGUCGAGCAUACUGCUGCCGCGCCGCCAUCUCCGCCAGCCCGCGCCGGAGAAGAGGCAGCCACCCACGACCUGUGCCGACCGCAGCCCUUGCCGCCGGAGGAGAAGACGACCGGCCGCCGCCGUCGCCCCAGGCACACACCGCCACCGCGCCGCCCGUCACGCCGUCGCUGCAGACGAACCGCCGUGCCGCCCGGCGUCAGCACCACGCCCCGGCCCGGGGUGUUGACCCGCGCCAACCCCACCACGCGGGAGGACGAGGAUGCCCCGCCGCCGACCGGCCUUUGCCCAGCCGGGCCCCCUGGCGGCGGCGAGGGAGGAGGGAGGAGGGGAGGGGAGACCGGCGGAGGCGGCGGAAACCAUAUUUGCACAAGGAUAUAUGCCGGUUUGCUGGUACUGUUCCUAAUGCGACAACAACAGGCGAUAUCGAUAGCAUGGCCAUGUAUGCUGGCCAGAGUGUUGGGCUAAUCACCGAGAUUGUACCAGCAAGGGAAGUUGUC